GGGUUGUGAGGUUAAGCGACUAAGCGUACACGGUGGAUGCCCUGGCAGUCAGAGGCGAUGAAGGACGUGCUAAUCUGCGAUAAGCGUCGGUAAGGUGAUAUGAACCGUUAUAACCGGCGAUUUCCGAAUGGGGAAACCCAGUGUGUUUCGACACACUAUCAUUAACUGAAUCCAUAGGUUAAUGAGGCGAACCGGGGGAACUGAAACAUCUAAGUACCCCGAGGAAAAGAAAUCAACCGAGAUUCCCCCAGUAGCGGCGAGCGAACGGGGAGCAGCCCAGAGCCUGAAUCAGUGUGUGUGUUAGUGGAAGCGUCUGGAAAGGCGCGCGAUACAGGGUGACAGCCCCGUACACAAAAAUGCACAUACUGUGAGCUCGAUGAGUAGGGCGGGACACGUGGUAUCCUGUCUGAAUAUGGGGGGACCAUCCUCCAAGGCUAAAUACUCCUGACUGACCGAUAGUGAACCAGUACCGUGAGGGAAAGGCGAAAAGAACCCCGGCGAGGGGAGUGAAAAAGAACCUGAAACCGUGUACGUACAAGCAGUGGGAGCACGCUUCGGCGUGUGACUGCGUACCUUUUGUAUAAUGGGUCAGCGACUUAUAUUCUGUAGCAAGGUUAACCGAAUAGGGGAGCCGAAGGGAAACCGAGUCUUAACUGGGCGUUAAGUUGCAGGGUAUAGACCCGAAACCCGGUGAUCUAGCCAUGGGCAGGUUGAAGGUUGGGUAACACUAACUGGAGGACCGAACCGACUAAUGUUGAAAAAUUAGCGGAUGACUUGUGGCUGGGGGUGAAAGGCCAAUCAAACCGGGAGAUAGCUGGUUCUCCCCGAAAGCUAUUUAGGUA
rnacentral:rRNA from 1 species